rnacentral:ncRNA from 1 species
CAGAUAGAGGCGCGGUGCGCAGGGUAGCCCUGUUCCACAGAAUGGCAAUUCUGAACGGGGACGAAUGGGUGCACCGCCGAAGGGGAGCGGCACGCCAAAGCCGUCCUCUGGCAGUCGGGCCGAGCGCCAGCUGCUGUCAUGCUUUGCAUGGAGCGCUAUUGGGA